GUCUCUUCAAAGACAUCUAAUAAAAUUGGAAUGACAAAAGAAAUUAACAUGAUCCCUGCGCAAAGAUGACAUGCACACACAAAUAGUAAUCCGUACAUUG
rfam:Spinacia oleracea cultivar SynViroflay scaffold3391.con0005.1, whole genome shotgun sequence.